CCUACGGGAGGCAGCAGUGAGGGAUAUUGGUCAAUGGACGAGAGUCUGAACCAGCCAAGUAGCGUGAAGGAUGACUGCCCUAUGGGUUGUAAACUUCUUUUAUAUGGGAAUAAAAUGUUCCACGUGUGGGAUUUUGUAUGUACCAUAUGAAUAAGGAUCGGCUAACUCCGUGCCAGCAGCCGCGGUAAUACGGAGGAUCCGAGCGUUAUCCGGAUUUAUUGGGUUUAAAGGGAGCGUAGGUGGAUUGUUAAGUCAGUUGUGAAAGUUUGCGGCUCAACCGUAAAAUUGCAGUUGAAACUGGCAGUCUUGAGGACAGUAGAGGUGGGCGGAAUUCGUGGUGUAGCGGUGAAAUGCUUAGAUAUCACGAAGAACUCCGAUUGCGAAGGCAGUUCACUGGACUGCAACUGACACUGAGGCUCGAAAGUGUGGGUAUCAAACAGGAUUAGAUACCCUAGUAGUC
rnacentral:rRNA from 1 species